CCGUGCAAAGCAACUAAAAGGGUUUCACAGUCAGUCAAAUCAUUCUAUAGAGGCGCCAUUUUGUCUUAGGGCAAGGUGUCAGUGGAUUUGAAGAAGCAGAUGUUUGUAGAGUUCAGGACAAAGUGUUCUUGGAAGUCGGUACAAGAGACAUUAGUAGCGCAGAAUUUCGAGAAAAAGGUGGGGGCUAGACUUAAGCAUGCGUUACGUAGAGCCCGUGAAAAAGUCCUAAAGCCUAAGUGGAUCCGUGAUGAUAACUGAAAGAAACUGCUGCACUUCUCGGCGACUGAUCCGGUGUUUUUGAAGCAAAGUGAAAAUGGGAAGAAGGCCAGGGCCUCAGCUAAGGGUGGAUUUCGACACACUAGUGGGGCCACCAGCCAUGAGUACAUUAGGAUGAAGCUGACGCUCGACAGGGGUCAGGAAGUACCUCAAGAUGAAGUCUUCAAGAUUACUUACACGAGGAAGACGAAGAACGCUGAUGCUACAGAGCAAUGGAUUGAGCCAAGGGUUCAGCAAACCUAUGUAAGUCACUACCUAACAAUAAUAACUACUUUUGUUUUUAACCUAAAUUUAGCUACUAACAUUGUAUCCUUCAACUUCAAACCGAGUUUCAACAACACUUUGGGGAAGAUUGUGCCAGUCAGCCAGCCGGGACGUCGAUGACCAUAGAGAUAAUUGAUCAGCAGUGGAUGGAGAAGGUUGCUCCCCCGACAAGGUAUGGGACAGUUUAUGGGAUGCCUCAUCGAGCCUGUCGUCAAUUCCCGUCGUUCCUUCAAGGCGUAGGUGCUACUUUUGAGAGGGAGUGGAGCCUAAGGAGUAACAAGAAAUGAAGCAAAAAGUUACUCAACUAACAACCACACUUAGUGCCAUGGAGGAAAGGAUGUUGGGUAUGCAGGCCCAAGCAGACAGCUUACUCAAUUCGGGGGCGUUUCCGAUUCCCCCGUGUCCCGGGGAUGCUCGUAGGUCAC